AGAGACAGCAGCAGCCGCGGGAAUACGUAGGUCCCGAGCGUUGUCCGGAUUUAUUGGGCGUAAAGCGAGCGCAGGCGGUUAGAUAAGUCUGAAGUUAAAGGCUGUGGCUUAACCAUAGUACGCUUUGGAAACUGUUUAACUUGAGUGCAAGAGGGGAGAGUGGAAUUCCAUGUGUAGCGGUGAAAUGCGUAGAUAUAUGGAGGAACACCGGUGGCGAAAGCGGCUCUCUGGUCUGUAACUGACGCUGAGGAGCGAAAGCGUGGGGAGCGAACAGGAUUAGAUACCCCAGUAGUCCCUGUCUCUUAUACA
rnacentral:rRNA from 1 species